AUGAACGCUAGCGACAGGCUAACACAUGCAAGUCGAGGGGUAACAGGGUAGCAAUACCGCUGACGACCGGCGCACGGGUGAGUAACGCGUAUGCAACCUGCCUAUAACUGGGGAAUAGCUCCCUGAAAGGGGAAUUAACACCGCAUAACACUAUUGAUUCGCAUGGAUUGGUAGUUAAAUGUAGCGAUACAGGUUAUAGAUGGGCAUGCGUGACAUUAGCUAGUUGGUGAGGUAACGGCUCACCAAGGCUACGAUGUCUAGGGGUUCUGAGAGGAAGGUCCCCCACACUGGUACUGAGACACGGACCAGACUCCUACGGGAGGCAGCAGUGAGGAAUAUUGGUCAAUGGGCGCAAGCCUGAACCAGCCAUGUCGCGUGCAGGAAGAACCUGCCCUAUGGGUUGUAAACUGCUUUUAUAGUAGAAGAAACACAUCUACGUGUAGAUGUCUGCCAGUAUACUAUGAAUAAGCAUCGGCUAACUCCGUGCCAGCCGCCGC
rnacentral:rRNA from 1 species